rnacentral:lncRNA from 1 species
AUGUAUUUGAUUGAUAAAAGAGCUUGUUUGUGUGUGUGUGUGUGUGUGUGUGUGUGUGUGUGUGUGUGUGUGUGUGUGUGUGUGUGUGACCAAGCAGUGAAGUACAGCUCAGUCAGCCCAUCCUGGCCAUUCAGAGCAAACGGGACUGUAAUUAUCCGGAGCCAGUCAUCUCAGGAGGUCGACUUGGAUUUGGGGAAUGUGUCCCCUCCUCCACAUCUCUGUCCUUUUCACCCUUCAACCCCAUCGUCCUCCCCAGCAAAAGGGCAUUUCUUCAGCUGGAGGAUCACACUGCCACAGCAGUGUGGUGAUGUGUCGUUCCACUCACAACAAGGCGUUCUAAAAAUGCUGCACUGAAGUUAACAGAAGUUCCGAAAACGUGUCUCUAGACCUUCAUUCCACUAGUUAUCAUCUAGUGUUCUUCAACACUGAACCUUGUUGAAAGUCCUUUAAAUUGGCAUGGUAAUUUUAAAAUUAGUUCAGCUAUUGUAUUUAAAUCUAAAUGCAGGAUUCAGAAAUGUUUUCCUAUUAAGUGUAAAUCCUAUCAAAAGUGACAGUAAACAGAUUUGUAAUGUUACAAAAGAUUUCUAUUCCAACACAAAAAUAGUAAAGGCCCCUUAAGCUGAUUCAAAGGGACAGUUCACCCAAAAAUUAAAAGUCUGUCAUUAAUAACUCACCCUCAUGUUGUUCCAAACCCAUAAGACUUUUGUUCAUCUUUUGAACACAAAUCAAGAUAUUUUUGAUGAAAUCAGAGAGCUUUCUGACCCUCCAUAGACAGUACUAUUGUGAAGGCGUGCCGAAGACUCACACGAAAGAGAAGAACUGUUGAAUAAAGUCGUUAUUUUUCUUUUCUUUGCGCACAAAAAGUAUUCUCGUAGCUUCAUAAAAUUACGGUUUAACCAAUAAUUUCACAUGGACUAUUUUAAUGAUGUCCUUACUACGUUUCUGCAGGGUCAGAAAGCUCUCGGAUUUCAUCAAAAAUAUCUUAACCUGUGUUCCAAAGGUCUUACGGGUUUGAUUCGACAUAAGGGUGAGUAAUUAAUUACAGAAUUUUCAUUAUUUGGGUGUACUAUCCCUUUAAGGGGCUGUUCGCAUAGAACUUAUUAAUGUGUUAAAAAAUGCAACAUGAGCUUAGCAGAAUUGAAAAAAAAAAACUCUGAACAUCCAAUGCUGUCAUAUUUACACAAAAAACAAUUGAAAAGCUGCACAGUACAACACAAACCUUUUAUAGCUGUUGGUAAGCAAGCAGUGUUUGUAAAAUAACUCUGUAGAAAGUUUAACAUAAUUACAUGAUUGCUGAACAUGUUAAAAAUCAAAACAAAGCAGUCUUUCAUGAGUAGAUGAUUGUUUAUCUGACUUGUUAAUCUUGUACGAAUUUGUCACAAUGACUGUAUACAUGAGUAUGUUUAAAUGAGACAUAAUUUUACAGUGUAAUUUGGUGAAUCAUAUCAGGAUUGUAUGUCAGUUGCCAUUUCCCGACACCCAGAGAUCCCUGGGGCUCAGAAACGUAGGAUGUAGGAUGAAGUUAUAGUUGUGUCAUAGUUUUGUCUUGGUAACAUUCUUCUCUCAUGUCAGUGUUUCAAUACCUGUGCCAGGUUAUCUCUAUCAUUGAUCCCUUCUCUGAUAAAAGUGAACAGAUCUUGCAUGAGCAUGUGAGGUCUUGCACUGGCCCUUCUUGAUCCAAAAAGCGUGUCUGAUCCAUUCUGCCUGACUUCUCCGAAUCACCACCAUGUAUCUUAGGAUCAGAUAAGGGCAAAAGGGAAGAAAUGGUGGCUGCAUUAGAUACAAUAACAAACUGCCAGGGAAAAGCACAACAUUGUGCCAUUCCUCCAUGUGCCUGUUGCUGAUCCUAAAAGACAUUUACAACCCAUGCCUGACGUGAAGGUCUGACAUCAUUGCAAGAUGGAAAUCAUAUUUGGAGGGCUGAGGAGGGAUGAAUAAAACAGCUGCUCCGAGUCAGAAUCUUGCCGAAAAUUCCAGCAAACUUUAAGUCAGAUAUGUUGUAAGAUUUACUCGAAGAGCCUCUGUCUAGAUCAAGAUGUCUUGAUGAAAGAUUAAUUGAUAACCCGUUCCUCAGCGUGGCAUCUCAUGUGUAUAGCAUCCGCACACAGCUCUGUUAUGUAAAGUUGAUGAGCACAUGCCCAGUGUGUACAGUUAUAAAUCACCUCUGCUCUCCCGCGGCUUUCAGUGUUUACAGUAAACAGUGUGCUGGAAUGUAAAGUUAUUUCAGUCUGUUGGCCAGGACUCGUUGUAGUGUUUGUGCUACAGGCCGUUAGUCCAACCCAGAGCCCCCCUGUACCUCAUUAUGUGAUUAGGCCUGUUUGCUCUGCCGGGGUUCUGUUGCAGCUUUACACUCAUCCCUUCACCCACAAAAGACAAACACAGACGCAAACACAACAAGCCCACUUCCUCCAGAUCCAUUAUGUCCCUCUAUUCACCCUAAACAGCAAACUCUUGAAAUCCAAUCAUCCCUCAUUUUGUCUAUACACUGAAUGAUCAUUACAGGACGCAAGGUCAGUUUGGAAAGGACAAGACUUUGAACUUUUAGGAAGUACAGAGGAGGAUUCUCCAGGGAAUGACCUCUUUGUUUAUUCAUUUGAAAUGAGUUUAGCUAUUGUAUUUAAAUGAGAAGGGAGGAUUCUAAAAAUGUUUUGGCAGGCAAGGAUUUUUUUUUUUUUUCUAGCAAGGAUCACUUACAUUGAUUAAACGUGACAGUAGAUACAUUUUUAAUGUUACACAAAAAAAAAAAAUUUGAACUUUUUAUUCAUUAAAGAAUCCUGAAAACAAUUAUCAAGGUUUCCACAAAAAUAUGAAGCAGGACAGCUGUUUUCAGCACUGAUAAUAAUGAGAAAUGUUUCUAUAGCAGCAAAUUGGCAUAUUAUAAAAAUUUCUGAAGGAUCAUGUGACACUGAAGCCUGAGUAAUGGCUGCUGAAAAUUCACCUUUACCAUCACAAGAAUAAAUAACAACUUUGAAAAUUAUUUUCAAUUAUAAUAAUAUUUCACAAUAAUACUGUUUUUAUACAUUUUUGAUCAAAUAAAUGCAGUCUUGGUGAGAAUAAGAGACUUCUUUUAAAAUCCCAAACAUAAACAGACCCCAAAUAUAAAUAUUAAAUUAGUUUUAAAUAUAAAAAUAAAACUAUUUUUAUGUUUAUGUUUCUUUUUAUAAUAUAAUAUAUUGAUUAAAGUAGUGUAAUAAUUUAGUAUUUUUAUAAAAUAUAUAAAAUAGUAAAUAUUAAAUGUAAAAUAAUAAUAAAAAUAUAAUAGGAAUUUUAAAAAUCAUUCAAUCAUAUUAGGAAACAUUAACAAAAGUCAAUUUCCUAAAUGUCCAAAAUUCAUGCAACAAGACUUUUUGUCUACAUGAUGCAACUUUUUAUUUCUGCAACAACACAUUAGGUACCCAAAAUCUCACACCUCAUAAUUGUACAUUAAUCUUUAAAUAAUAUGUACAGACUGCAUAUGAUUGCAUCACAUUUGGCAGCAUUUUCACAUUUAGCACGGACAGGCAAAUUGCUUGCCGCUUGAAACUUGUUAGGACAUUUCAAACCGCAUAUUGUCAUGCUUUACUGUGUAAACAGUCACUUAAACCUUAAGAGUGCAGUCUUUAUCGUGACCUCAACCACCACACUCUGAACCCAGAGAAAGUGAGAAAGAAAAAAACAAAAACAAAAGGCAUGUCUGUUCCUCUCUGAUAUAGCACUGCUGAGACAGUGGGACAUGCUUGAGCUGGAGAAAUGUGAGCAGUGGCCUUUAUCUGUCAGGAGAAAAAAAGAUAAAAAAAGAGCGAGGAACAGGGAGUGAGAGAGAGCAGAGACAGAGCAUUGUGUUGUGAAAGUGGAGAUUAAUACAAAUACAGUGGAAAGGAGGAGGGGGAGCUGGGAUAAAGUGGAGCACUAUCUCUCCUCCUCUUUUCUCUUAUUCCCUCCCUCUCUCUGCUCCCUCCCCCGGGCUGCAGGAGUAGUAGGAGGUUAACGUGACUGUGAGAGCUGUACUUUAAAACAGCACGGCGGGCCGAACUCACACACUCAGACACACUCACAGCUGAGAAAUCACACUGAAACAUAAGGUCUGUAAACACUCAAACACUCACAAUUUUAACAUUUUCUACUUCUAAGCUGGGUGAGGUUUAAAGAUGUUUUUUAUUCAUUAGAUAAUUAAACAAAGUUUGUAUCU